AGUUAUUGCUGUGCUGACACGUAUGGCUAUUGUUGUGGUUAGUUCCCUCCGUCUUUUCCGGUGUGCAGUUUUGGUGCUGCCUAGCGAUUUUGGUGGUAGACAAAAGUUUGAUUUCUUGCCAACGCGUGGCUCUUUGGGUGGUUCGGUGGUGUGGCUAUAUCUUUAGCUCCUGUGGCAGUGGCACCGCUUUGACUAAGUUUUUUUUUUUGCUACUGUGGUAUUUCUCCAAGAGUCCUCUUCGUCUUUCUCUCCUCAGGUUUCUCGAUUUCUCCCGCACCUCAUUCCCCUUCUCCAAACCUCCAGGCAAUCUCGACCGGUGGCGUCCCGCUCCAGCUCCUUGGCCCUAGCCACCACUAGCAAUCUCUCGGCGGGGGGUUGGUGGUUGCAUCCGGUGGGCUUGUGCAGCGGCGUCCGGCGGGCUGGCGGCAGGGAGUCGGCGGGUCGUGGUGCGCCCGAGAACGGAGAAUUAGCAGCUCCGCGGCGCAGGAUGCAGCGGUCAAGUGUCCGUCGAGCGGAGGGGAUGGCUAGGGUCGCCGCACGUCUGCCCCGCCGAGACGCUCCUCCUGCGUUUAGGGCGCGUGGUGGUGCCGCUUCAAGGGCACGAGUGGGCUCGAGCAGAUGCGACGGGGGUUCACGGCGCGUGAUGGCGGCGUACGCGACAUCGGCGUGUAGGAAGGUGAAUCCAUCUACCUUAUCUCAUCUUGCCUCUUUCUCAAACGACUCAUGGUGGCGUGGCGUGACCAUAACCCUGAGUUGCUGGUCGCGGCGGUAACGACUAGGGAGCUGGCGACCGUGGAGUCGGCGGCAAAGGAUGCAGAGCACUACAACGAUGCCUGUAGUGGACGCAGCAUCGGUGGCUUUAGGGAGCGCAGGGAUUGCUGUUUGAGGACUCGCCUCCUCUGAUCCUCUCUUUUUUCCUAUGCAACGGAACAACUUCAGGAUCAAGAGCAGAACGAUGGAACGAUCUCUUUUGAAAGAUGUAUCCCACAUGUCUUAAUUUGUGCGGCUGGCUAGGAUAUGGGAAUUCAGGAGCACUGAUGCUUGCGCAUUAUGUGAGCUUGAUUUUGUUGUCGUCAAUCCAUCAGGUGAACAAUGUAUUGCUGUCAUAUAAAUUCUCACUUUCAGUUUCACCACAUUACAGGACAAGUGAUAUAAAAAGAACCCUGCAAGUAGCUAGCCGAUUUCUCCGUUAUGAUCCUACAAGUGGCUAUCCUAUUUCUCCAUUACGAUCAGCUCAUAAUGCCACAAUCAGGUUCUAUCUAUUUUUCCCCGUAGGCAACAUGGUUUGCUGGCAAAAGGAAUUGGCUCUAAUAAUUGUUAGUUACAUCUUUCACUCAUGCUGUUUUCCUUACUUCCCUAAUAUUCAGUUCGUGUAUCACCUUUCGGCUUCUUCAUUUCGAGUUGUUCAGCACACAUUUGUCUGGUCCAACUACAAACUACGUGUUUGAAUCAUUCUACAAAACCUGUGAAGAAAAUGCAUGGAAUUUUAGCUUCCAUAUGGCUUUUCUCUUCCUUUUGUUUGAUUAGUUCAACCUUUUGGUAUAGGUAUGAAUAUGAACAGAAAUGUCUAGCAUUUUGAUCCAUAUAUGGCACUCCCUUCCGGCUGUCUGAGUGGUUGAUUUUCUCCCACUAAACAACGUGUGAACUUUUUCUUGGAACCAAGAUGCAUGUUGUUAUGCUGCAACAAAUUACAGUUACUUUUAGAUUAGCCAUAAUUUCCUGCAAGGAAAAUAACCAUCCUUUAGGGUUUAGGGUACCAGGGAACCAAGGGGAUAUGUCAAGAGAUUGGCUAAAAGAGGGUCAGUGUAUACAAAUUGAACAUUCAACCAAUAUGACGGAAAAAGACAUGCAGAUCAACUGACCACCUGCGCUGUGAAUUUGCUUUACCCAAAGAACAAUGGUAAAAUAAAAUUUACCCCAACCACAUUCAAAUGUUUGCCUACAAUGAAUUUCCUUUUCAGUGCGACAAGAACGCAUAGAUCCGAGCGCUGGUUAGAAACUGCAUCAUUGACUUAAAUAUACCCUCAUGGCCAUGUAUGGAAAAAUAAAAGAUUGUUAUCUGGAAUUACAUAUUUCGUUUGCGGGUGGUUACUGUAAGUAAAGCCAUGCCCCUUGUAGAGCAAAUCGCCAGCAGAAAAGACAUGUUUACAUCGUCGAUGGGAUGUAUUACCUCAUCCCUAUUUUAGGAAACAUUUGUUAUCGCCAAUUCAUGUAUUUGUAUAGUACCAAACAACAAACAAAUGUAAUGCAACCAGGGCGCCAUCAUCACUAUCUUGGGAGCACACGUUGAGGCAUUCGACGCCUUUGGCCUACAGAGAGUAUUGAUGGACGAACAAUUGAUAGUAGCAUUCGUUGGACUGACAGUUAGUCAGUUGUUAGGUAAGUACCAUUGGUUCUUCACUUCUUCAGCAAAACAAUCCCUUACAUGAACACAAUGAUAAUAUAAUUAAGGACUGCGACUUCUAAAUCCCAUACGAAUUCUGGCAUUCAAGGCCACUUCAGUGACCAGAAUUUUUUUGGCAGAAAAUGUUGUGACCAGAUGGUAUAUAACCAUGCCUGUUCUGGAAUUUGCUCCUAUUAGAGAAGGGUAAGAAUUUGACCACUGGGUUUACUAAUCGAUGUGAUGUAGAUACACGAGCUCACGUGCCCAUACACACGCAUUACAAAAAACAUAACCCACCAUAGAGAGUGACAAAAGUGCCAGCCAGUUCAAAGAAGAGCAAAUCGAGAUAGCCAUCGCUUCAGUAGGAGCUUUCGAACCCAAUGAAAUUAUGGUACGGUGCACAAAACUUUCUAACCAAAUGAAAUUAUGGUACGGUGCACAAACUUACAGAGUAUGUUUCAACCAGCUGUUUCUAUGCUUCAUCCCUUUUGUAAAAUUAUACAUACACCUACAUUGGGUAAGCGCUGCAAGUUCAAGAUUCAUGUCACCAAAGCAGUAUCGACCAUAGACAGCCAGUUACAUUUAGGAUAUGUGCUCGAAUCUGGCAUUGUGCUAUGGGUACUUAUGCCUCUGAUAUGUUCAUCUCCUACCUCUUUGAUGUUUCGGUUCUGUGGUAAUAAUUAGAAUGGCACCUGAAGAAUUCUGUAAGAUCAAAAUAACUGCAGGAAGGAGCUACUACAAUGUUUUAUAAUUGAUCUAGACACGAUUCUUGAAAAGCCAACUAUUUUUUUUUGUUCUUGGCCUACAAAGUAAGUUCCUAUGGAUUGUUGUUUAUGUCAUCAUAUAUUGGUCCAGUUUCCUUAUAUAUUUCAAACUAGGAAGCAUAAUACAUAAUUUUCUCCAUGUCAACUUGAUGUGCAGUACACCAUCAUGUUUAGCCUCCUGAAACUUUCCAUUUCCUACGGUCAUUGCUAUUUCACACAAAACUUAUAUUCCUAUCAUGAGAUUUGCCUUAGUCCUUAGAAACUGUGCUGACAUACAUUUUCUCCAUAUUUCAGUCUUGGUACUGAAUCAAUUCGAACAGUUAGGUACACUGUGUUAGGAAAAUUAGGUUUCUUUAUACUCGCAUAAUGGAUUACGGUAUAUUUUACUUUAGAGUGAUGGAUUUACUGUAUUUGAAUUUCUAAAUUAACAGCCAAUUAGUCAUUUUUUGGCACAUUAGUGGUUCUUUUUCAUAUGAUCGAUUGCAUUAUUUAUGUUUUAGCAUAUGGGUUCAAUGGUUAAUGGACGAACCUAUGUUCUGAUUGCAUUUUACUUGACAACUUUGAUUUGCAAUCAGAUCAAAAUACUUGGGUCAAAUCUAUAUUUUGAUCUCAAGUUUGAUUGCAUUUUAUUUGUCUUCCGUUCUCAAGUUUCCUUGCAAGUAUUUGGUCACCAUGUGUAUGUUUGCCCUGAACAUUUUUGGCCGUAUGUAGAAAUAAAGGGGUUCGCCCACAUAGCAGUUUAUGUUCAGGUCCUAGCGUUGUUCGUAGAAUGAUCAAUAUGUUAGUGUUCUCAAAAUAUAGUCAAGCGGGGCAGUCCACCAUGAACAGAGCUGCCAUUGCGUCUCACGUUCGUGGUAGGUGGUCUAGCCCUUCCAGCAAUGCUGUGCUUGUGGCAUGAUAGGUCUCCAGGUUGUGAGUAGAGCCGUGGCCGCACUCUGUUCAAUAUUCUCUUCCUCCUGUUCCGCGUGCGAUUGAGGCGCCUUUGCAUACACAUGUCUCCUCACCACUGGUGGCUGCCAUGCCACCACUGUUGUCAUGGACUGGGUGAGUUACUCCAACGCCAGCCCUUGCAGGUUGUUGAUUACAGCGGGGAAAUUGGGGUCAAAGACGGAAAUUUAAUUUUCACCUUUUGCUUGGACGAAAUCUAUGUUCAGAUUUAGGUGAAUGCUGAAUCAUGUAGUUUCUUUUUUUCUAACGGUGGUAUCAUUGAAGCAUAUGUCGGUAUGAGUUAAAAUGUUAUCAUUGUACAUGGCCGGGUUUGGGAAAUUAUUUGGUGACUUCAUAAUAUAAUGAGAGAUACAGAAAUAGAGUUAUAUGUUUCUCCAGAUACAGAGUUUAUGCUUCUCCAAAGUGUCUAUCCAUAAGCCAUUGGUUGCAAGCAUGACUAUAUACUUUCUUCAGACUGUUGUUCAGGUCAAAAGUUUGUAAGGGUGUUCUAAUGCCUAUUAGAGUUCUUUUAUUUAGACGUGCUAAGACUAAACUGCAGGUAAUGUUUUCUAUUUAGAAACUGCAGCUGUAUGACCGGAUCAUCUGGAUAGGUAUUGUAGAUAUAGAUUCGGUUUUGUAAUAGCAUAUUUGAUCUUUGCCUUCCUAUAAUAAGUGUUUUCUUUGUCCAGCAAGAUUGAAAGUGGCAUGGACAUUCUUUAUGUAUUUUAGUUUGCAGAACACCAUAUAUAGAUUGGAGUUUUGAAGCCAAUGACAAAGGGGAUGAAACGUUUCUUCGGUGCUGAAAUACAUAGAUUUUGAUGUAACUCUACCAUUCAGUUGCAUAUGCUACCUUUUCUUCUGCCUAGCAUAAGCAUGGCUAGGAGAGUAGGAUACCCUGAUCCCUUCUUCCAUUGAUUUUGUAUGUAUAUGUGAUUUACCUGGCCUUCAGAUUUAUAUUGUUUCACUAUCUACAUUCGUUUUUGUCUGAAAAAGUUUCUUUUCUGGAUUUCAGUUCAGGUGGUCAAAUUGACAUAUUUGGCCUUAUAAAUGAGCUACGUCAAAUUCAUACGGAGUUCCCAAGAACUGCUUAUAACAAGCUGCGGAGAAGGUUUAGAGAGAUCAGCGGAAGCAAGAAAGCACAAAUUUCAACAAGCUAUGAAGGGUCUGAGGGUUAUCUCAUUUAUUUUACUAGGGAACGGUUCUUCACAUUCGCUAGAUAUGUUGCAUAAGCAACGAUUUCAAUCUUUUUACAUCGACUCCAUGAAUGCUUAUUUAUCGACUGAAUUUUUCAGCUCAUUACAACAUCAUAUGUGACUUCUGAACAUUACAAGUUUCAACUAUGCUAAGCUACUAUACUUGCAA